GUUACGUGGUAAAAGCAGAUUGCAUCAAGCUUGACGUCCUCUGUUUCUUGUAACAAAUAUUACACAUUUUAAUAUGUAUUUCCUGGUUCACUGCAAGGCUUAUUGAAAGAGGUUGGAGCAUGGGUAUUGGGGUAUAAGGAUCAGCCGCGGUCACUAUGGGAACACGGCGGGCCGUUGUCAGGAUGUGGGGUCCUUGGGAGUGGGAGUCCAGCUGCGUCCACCUCCGGUGUUCAUCCACCGCGGGCCUCCCAUCCCCCCACCGGGCCCCAGCCUGGCCGGAUCUGUUUUUCUAAACCGAGAGAGGAGUGACUCACCACUCCGGUUUCAAAACAGGCCAUGAACGGGAGGGGGGAGGGCGGCAGCUAACGUUAAAGGUCCUGUUUAAACAGGUGUUUCAGCUCACCACACUGUCGUCUCAUGCAACAGUAGGCUUGAGCUACUAAAUAUAUUGUGUGUAAAUUGAGCCCUGAUGUCAGGAUUGGCCAAAUCUGAUGCAAAUACUUUUUUACGUUUAAGCAUGCAAGACUGUGCUGUAUUUUUUGAAAAAAUGCAUUAUCACUGGAAAAAUCAAUUUAGUGGAAAUCAGUGGCAGGGCAGUCAUGUGAGAGUCCAGUCUGCAUCUCUUUUGAAUAAGCUCUUCUCAGAAAAACAAACAGGAGAAAGAUUAAUAGGGCAUAAGAAAGCCAUAUGAACAGAGGUAGACAGGAACUUCCCCUAAUGGUGGAGCAUUAUCAAACAACUAUUGAUAAGAAUGUAUUGAUCUUAAUGAUGAAAAACAAUGAGCCAUGUGGUAACAGUUUAUCUGCUUCUUUCAAUAAACCCCUGCUGUGGGCCCUUUCA